UCUGUAAUAGGGCCCGUAAGUCUCGUUUACUUUCACUUUCGAUUUACCACUUCCGGGUACAUCGGCAGACUUAUUUACCGUUACGCAUAUAGGUAACCCGAAGAACUCGAGGGAUAUAGAAGUUAAAUUUGUUUCGGUCCUCUUCAGAUUUGAAGGAAUGGAUAGCACGGGUCAAAAAAUGCAGAUGUAUAGACAAGGAGGUAUAUGACAAGUAUAGAAUAUACAGUUGUUCAAUAUGGACCAUUAAUCAACUGUUUGUACUGCCUAUGAUCCUGAAAUAUCUGUACAUCAAAGAUAAAAAGGGAAAAGAUGAAGGAGGAUUUGCCCAUGAAGACCUUUAUUGCAACUACCAUCUUCCAGUUCCUUAAUUUGAGAAUGAUAUCAGAGAACACACAGUUACAGUGAAAUAUUAGUUUAAUAUAAUUAAGCCACUGAAAAUAGUCAAAUAUACUUUCCUGAAGAAGAUGAAUGACAUCCAGCACAGAAAUCUUAAUGUAUAAAGAGUAUGAUUUUAUGGUGUUUGACACUAUGAUCUUGUUAACAUGUUAAUGUCACAAUGAUAGAAACAGAGUAAAAUAUCCACAUUUCAUUGCAGUUUUAAGUAUUAAAACUAGAUACUCUAUAUAUACUAAAGCUGAUAACACACCAGAGAUAAGGUUUUUUCAUGGAAUCACAGUAGAGUCAUAUGACAUUAUGGACAUUAAAUGACAAUGAAGUAAAGAUUAGCAAAAAUAUUAUAUAUCAUCUACUACUAAUAUUGUGAGGCAAUCAUUGAUAAGAUCACAAAUUUGCAAUCAAAGCUUUGAUAUCAAGUUGAACAUUUUUCAAUUAGAAUAUGAUUUAUAACUGUAUGAUAAUUUGUUCAUGUUAAUUUUCAAAGUCUUUACAUUUGUAAAAGGAAAUAUUCUUAUUCUUGUAUCAGUAGACAUUCACAGUGUAAAGUUACAUUGUCCAAAUAACUAAUAAUAAUUCCAAGUGCUUUCCUGAAGUUUUUCUUCCACUGGAAAAUCAGUGUGAUAUAUAUGCUAAGCAGUGCACUAUAAAUUAUGUAAAAAUAAAAGUUUAUUAAACUUA